UACACGCUACGGUUGGGUCCGAUAAGCUGGAACAGAAUGUUGCGUCGCCACGAUGUUAUUAUAAGCUGCCAAAUGCUCUGUGGCGUCGGCCCGACUCAAAGAUGAGGGAGGAUCAGAGGAAGCGGAGCCCCCACGACAUCGACGAGCGCGAGUUCCGACGCCUUCUCGACCUCCUUCCCGUCGUCCUGAUCUCGAAACCACCGCGUCCAGGAGACUGAGAGGUGGGUUUGGCUUCGCUAACUCGAGUCAUGUUCAACACAAUGCAAGCUUCGGAGGAGAGACACAGAAAGGAGCAGAUGGAGCUGUUGAUGAUGAGAAGAGGAUGGUGUACACAGGACCCAAUCCUCUGCACAACAAAUAGAAAAAUGGUAAAUGUUUGAGAUCACAGUUAGAUUAUUGGCAGCCAAGUGAGCGUCAUUACUGCUGACCGAAAUGGUUAAAGUUGAUGGAGAUCGUCUCAGUCACACACAUGAUGAGAUUCAACCAUAUGAUCGGUAGAGUUGAUCUCAACCUGUCCCCCCUUGCCGUGGUUAUUGUCCUUUUUAUAUCUGCGCCGGUUCUCUUCUCUAUUACCCUGAUGUGAGGACAUAGUGUAUUAUCACAGCAGAGGGAUCAUCUACAGAUUAACAGCUUCUAGUUUCUUGCAGAGAAGACAUGAAAUCUGCCUGCCCCCGAGAAGCGAUCUUAAAUCGGGAAGAAGCUUUGGGCAUUAGUUUCGGAAAACAUUAUUCUGUGACAAACGUAAUUUGCACAAGAGACAGGUAGAAGAGCCCACAGGUACUUGUGACCAGUCGGUACGUGAUUACAUGCUCAAGCAGACGAUGGAUGGCAGAGAAAGGGCAUCCAAAAGGCUGCUUUACGGUUCCAUCCUGUAAGGUCAGGGUGAUGCCUCCAACACAGUAGAUGAGACAGUUUUGAAAAGGAGGGAGGCAAUUAAAAUACUGUCUUUGGCGAUGCAUGGCUGAGGGUGGAGACAUGUAGAUGAGGCAGGGAGUGAGUACCCUUGGUAGGAUGUACAACCUACUAAGAGCACAAUAAAUGCGCUCAGCGGAGGCUACCGAGAAGCGAGAGCUGCUCCGGACACAGAAAACAAUCCCCAAGAAAAUCUAUACUUGUUAACAGAUCUGACAAGUCUCGUCAUAGUGAAUACUUCAAAAGUCUGCCUUUCUUGUAACAGUUUCUGCUCGACAUUUAUUGCUCUCUCUGUCUCUGUACAUCUCUCUGUCUCUACAGAUAUCUCCUCCUUCGGAGACAAAACACCGGAGAUUAGAACAUACAUGUCCUCUAUUUAUGGUUCCCCCAACUAUGCUUGUGAGUGUGGAAGUAAAGUCUUGUCCUUUUGUGUGGUCA